rnacentral:rRNA from 1 species
GACGAACGCUGGCGGCGUGCUUAACACAUGCAAGUCGAACGGAAAGGCCCUGCUUUUGUGGGGUGCUCGAGUGGCGAACGGGUGAGUAACACGUGAGUAACCUGCCCUUGACUUUGGGAUAACUUCAGGAAACUGGGGCUAAUACCGGAUAGGAGCUCUUGCUGCAUGUUGGGGGUUGGUAAGUUUCGGCGGUUGGGGAUGGACUCGCGGCUUAUCAGCUUGUUUGUGGGGUAGUGGCUUACCAAGGCUUUGACGGGUAGCCGGCCUGAGAGGGUGGCCGGGCACAUUGGGACUGAGAUACGGCCCAGACUCCUACGGGAGGCAGCAGUGGGAAAUAUUACACAAUGGGCGGAAGCCUGAUGCAGCAACGCCGCGUGCGGGAUGACGGCCUUCGGGUUGUAAACCGCUUUCGCCUGUGACGAAGCGUGAGUGACGGUAAUGGGUAAAGAAGCACCGGCUAACUACGUG